AAGGUUUUCUUGCUCGAACCUGAGUUGAACUCGGGCAUGACGAAGACGUCGACUCCGACUCAUCCUAUUCACUAGAGAUACCAUUAUCCGGUCCAGCCCAAGGAUUGGUAAUAACUUCAACAUCGCAAGGCAGAUUCGUCCACUGACUGGGAUUGCGACCACCUCUUCUCGACCGUGACUACGACUUGCGCCUCGCCGCCCAUAUAGACAACCUACCAUAUCAAGACGGCAUUCC
rnacentral:lncRNA from 1 species